rnacentral:lncRNA from 1 species
AGGAUGCCACAUCAUCCCAUGAGGUGUAUUCUCAUGAAUGAAACAGGGAGUCCCAGUGCACAGUUUCAUUUCACGAUUUCAUAGGAUGCCCAUAACAUUUAAUUGUGAGGCAUGUGAUUGGCUAUGGUUAGAUGAAAUGAAACUCUAUAGCCUCCAAUGCAAGUUUCAAUAGGUUUCAUAGUCUUGGAAACAGUGUAUACACAGUUUCAUCCUGAUGAAACUCCUUCCCUCUCUCACUUCAUAACUACCAUGCCAUGUCAUCACAUAUGCUGAUGUGUCACCGUAUUUAAUGUGCAUGAAACCUCUAUGAAACUCCC